rnacentral:rRNA from 1 species
AUACGUAGGUGGCAAGCGUCGUCCGGAUUUACUGGGUGUAAAGGGCGUGUAGGCGGAGAUGCAAGUCAGGAGUGAAAUCUAGGGGCUCAACCCCUAAACUGCUUUUGAAACUGUAUCCCUUGAGUAUCGGAGAGGCAGGCGGAAUUCCUAGUGUAGCGGUGAAAUGCGUAGAUAUUAGGCGGAACACCAGUGGCGAAGGCGGCCUGCUGGACGACAACUGACGCUGAGGCGCGAAAGCGUGGGGAGCAAACAGGAUUAGAUACCCUGGUAGUCCACGCUGUAAACGAUGAAUACUAGGUGUGGGUGUCGAGAGGCAUCCGUGCCGGAGUUAACGCGAUAAGCAUUCCGCCUGGGGAGUACGAUCGCAAGAUUGAAACUCAAAUGAAUUGACGGGG